UGAUUGCUAUUACACUGGUGUCAGACAUUGAAGGAAAGGUGAAGAUUUCAUAUUUUUCAAGAAGCAAAACUUCGAUCUGAACGAAUGGGGACCUCGUCUUCAGCACAUUUGGAUCCCGAGAUAAAAGAACUCUUCACCCCGAGCGGACCACAAACAGAUAAAGAAAUCCGUUCCCUAUAUAAAGGUCAAGAGAUGGCCAAACACUACGCUGAAUACAGGCCUGGCUACCCUCCAGAAAUCUUUGAUACAAUCAUGUCGUA